UACAGAGGUCCCAAGCGUUGUUCGGAUUCACUGGGCGUAAAGGGUGCGCAGGUGGGCUGUCAAGUUUGAUGUGAAAGCCCCGGGCUUAACCCGGGAAUGGCAUUGAAUACUGAUGGUCUGGAGGAUCGGAGGGGGGGACUGGAAUUCUUGGUGUAGCAGUGAAAUGCGUAGAUAUCAAGAGGAACACCAGUGGCGAAGGCGAGUCCCUGGACGAUACCUGACACUGAGGCACGAAAGCCAAGGGAGCAAACAGG
rnacentral:rRNA from 1 species